CCCGCUGUAGCACAGUGGUAGUGCGCCUGGCUGUAGACCGGGAGAUCGUGAGUUCAAAUCUCACCGGCGGGA
rnacentral:tRNA from 1 species